rnacentral:rRNA from 1 species
GACGAACGCUGGCGGCGUGCUUAACACAUGCAAGUCGAACGGAAAGGCCCUGCUUUUGUGGGGUGCUCGAGUGGCGAACGGGUGAGUAACACGUGAGUAACCUGCCCUUGACUUUGGGAUAACUUCAGGAAACUGGGGCUAAUACCGGAUAGGAGCUCCUGCCGCAUGGUGGGGGUUGGAAAGUUUCGGCGGUUGGGGAUGGACUCGCGGCUUAUCAGCUUGUUGGUGGGGUAGUGGCUUACCAAGGCUUUGACGGGUAGCCGGCCUGAGAGGGUGACCGGCCACAUUGGGACUGAGAUACGGCCCAGACUCCUACGGGAGGCAGCAGUGGGGAAUAUUGCACAAUGGGCGGAAGCCUGAUGCAGCAACGCCGCGUGCGGGAUGACGGCCUUCGGGUUGUAAACCGCUUUCGCCUGUGACGAAGCGUGAGUGACGGUAAUGGGUAAAGAAGCACCGGCUAACUACGUGCCAGCAGCCGCGGUGAUACGUAGGGUGCGAGCGUUGUCCGGAUUUAUUGGGCGUAAAGGGCUCGUAGGUGGUUGAUCGCGUCGGAAGUGUAAUCUUGGGGCUUAACCCUGAGCGUGCUUUCGAUACGGGUUGACUUGAGGAAGGUAGGGGAGAAUGGAAUUCCUGGUGGAGCGGUGGAAUGCGCAGAUAUCAGGAGGAACACCAGUGGCGAAGGCGGUUCUCUGGGCCUUUCCUGACGCUGAGGAGCGAAAGCGUGGGGAGCGAACAGGCUUAGAUACCCUGGUAGUCCACGCUGUAAACGGUGGGUACUAGGUGUGGGGUCCAUUCCACGGGUUCCGUGCCGUAGCUAACGCUUUAAGUACCCCGCCUGGGGAGUACGGCCGCAAGGCUAAAACUCAAAGGAAUUGACGGGGCCCCGCACAAGCGGCGGAGCAUGCGGAUUAAUUCGAUGCAACGCGUAGAACCUUACCUGGGUUUGACAUGGAUCGGGAGUGCUCAGAGAUGGGUGUGCCUCUUUUGGGGUCGGUUCACAGGUGGUGCAUGCCUGUCGUCAGCUCGUGUCGUGAGAUGUUGGGUUAAGUCCCGCAACGAGCGCAACCCUUGUUCACUGUUGCCAGCACGUUAUGGUGGGGACUCAGUGGAGACCGCCGGGGUCAACUCGGAGGAAGGUGGGGAUGACGUCAAGUCCUCAUGCCCCUUAUGUCCAGGGCUUCACGCAUGCUACAAUGGCUGGUACAGAGAGUGGCGAGCCUGUGAGGGUGAGCGAAUCUCGGAAAGCCGGUCUCAGUUCGGAUUGGGGUCUGCAACUCGACCUCAUGAAGUCGGAGUCGCUAGUAAUCGCAGAUCAGCAACGCUGCGGUGAAUACGUUCCCGGG